UACGUAGGGUGCGAGCGUUGUCCGGAAUUAUUGGGCGUAAAGGGCUGGUAGGCGGCCAACUAAGUCUGAUGUGAAAUCCCCAGGCUUAACCUGGGAACUGCAUCCGAUACUGGUUGGCUUGAAUCCGGGAGAGGGAUGCAGAAUUCCAGGUGUAGCGGUGAAAUGCGUAGAUAUCUGGAGGAAUACCGGUGGCGAAGGCGGCAUCCUGGACCGGCAUUGACGCUGAGGAGCGAAAGCUAGGGGAGCAAACGGG
rnacentral:rRNA from 1 species